CGAUAGGCNUAACACAUGCAAGUCGAGGGGCAGCACAUGAAGUAGCAAUACGGAUGGUGGCGACCGGCGCACGGGUGAGUAACGCGUAUGCAACCUACCUACAACAGGGGGAUAACCCGUUGAAAGACGGACUAAUACCCCAUAAUACAGGGGUCCCGCAUGGGGAUAUUUGUUAAAGAUUAAUCGGUUGUAGAUGGGCAUGCGUUCCAUUAGCUGGUUGGUGAGGUAACGGCUCACCAAGGCAACGAUGGAUAGGGGAACUGAGAGGUUUAUCCCCCACACUGGUACUGAGACACGGACCAGACUCCUACGGGAGGCAGCAGUGAGGAAUAUUGGUCAAUGGACGCAAGUCUGAACCAGCCACGUCGCGUGAAGGAAGACGGCCCUACGGGUUGUAAACUUCUUUUGUAAGGGAAUAAAGUGAGUCACGUGUGACUUUUUGCAUGUACCUUACGAAUAAGGAUCGGCUAACUCCGUGCCAGCAGCCGCGGUAAUACGGAGGAUCCGAGCGUUAUCCGGAUUUAUUGGGUUUAAAGGGUGCGCAGGCGGGAGAUUAAGUCGGCGGUGAAAUUUUGCAGCUCAACUGUAAAAGUGCCAUCGAUACUGGUUUUCUUGAGUGUGGAUGAAGUAGGCGGAAUUUGUGGUGUAGCGGUGAAAUGCAUAGAUAUCACAAGGAACACCGAUUGCGCAGGCAGCUUACUAAACCAUAACUGACGCUCAGGCACGAAGGCGUGGGGAGCAAACAGGAUUAGAUACCCUGGUAGUCCACGCAGUAAACGAUGAUUACUAGCUGUUUGCGAUACAAUGUAAGCGGCUGAGCGAAAGCGUUAAGUAAUCCACCUGGGGAGUAC
rnacentral:rRNA from 1 species